GUCUCUGUGAGGAGUCCCGCCUUUUUUUCCCCUCUGAGGCGACUGAAGUUAAAAGUUUCCUCGGCGGUUUUUUGGCUUCGUAUUUGCUUUUCUUUCCCUCACCGGGUGUAUUUUUCAAGAGCAAUAGAACAGCCAAGGCCUGUGUAGGCUUAUUCUGAAGGAGGUCCAUUGAGUUCAAUGACUUACUUCCACGAUUAAAAGCCUCAGUGCUCUGCUCGCAAAGAGAAGAAAAGUGUGGUUACAAUGAACCUAAAGCACAAGGUGUGUCUUCUUGAUGCCAAUCAUACUGCUAGUUUAAUGUGAAGUGAACCUGUCUU